UACAGAGGUCCCAAGCGUUACUGAGAAUCACUGGGUUUAAAGGGUGCGUAGGCGGGUCUUUAAGUCAGGGGUGAAAGCCCAGAGCUCAACUCUGGAAUUGCCUUUGAGACUGAGUGGCUUGAGUACGAGAGAGGUGAGUGGAAUUCCCAGUGUAGAGGUGAAAUUCGUAGAUAUUGGGAAGAACACCGGUGGCGAAGGCGGCUCACUGGCUCGUAACUGACGCUCAUGCACGACAGCGUGGGGAUCAAACAGG
rnacentral:rRNA from 1 species